AGAUCUGCUUGGACUUCAGCAAAAGCUAAAAGUAUCCUUCAACAGGCUCCUGAAAAAUGAGAUGUCAUCCAUUGGAACUGAACUCCUCAAUGGGAAGAUGUACCUUGCUUCCUUUUCACCGUCCACCAAGAUUCUAAGUUUCCUGAGGCUUUCUAGUCAUGCGUUCAGUUAAGCCUGCAGAACUGCUCAUAGGAAGAAGGGACUUGCCUUGUCUCAGAUGAGUCUUUGGACUUAGACCUUUGGGUUAAUGCUGGAAUGAGUUAAGACUUUCGGGGACUGUUGGGAAGGCAUGAUGUGUUUUGAAAUGUGAGAAGGACAUGAGAUUUGGGAGGGGCCAAGGGCAGACUGAUAACGUUUGGCUCUGUGUCCCCCCCCCCAUCCAAUUCUCAUCUCGAGUUGUGAUCCUUAGUGUUGGAGGAGAGACCUGUGGGAGGUGACUGGAUCAUGGGGUGGAUUUCCCCUAUGUUCAUCUCAUGAUAGUGAAUAAGUUCUCAUGAAAUCUGGUUGUUAAAAAUGCAUGUGGCACUUCCCCCCUGCUACCUCUCUCUCUCCUCCUCCACCAUGAGACGAUGUGCCUUGAUUCCCCUUUGCCUUCUGCGAUGAUUGUAAGUUUCCCAAGGCCUCCAAGUCUUGCUUCUGGUUAAGCUUGCAGAACUGUGAGUCAAUUAAACCUUUUUUCUUCAUAAA
ensembl:lncRNA novel transcript